CAGCCGCCGCGGUAAUACCGGCGGCCCGAGUGGCGGUCACUAUUAUUGGGCUUAAAGCGUCCGUAGCCGGGUUGGGAAGUCCUCCGGGAAAUCUGGCCGCUUAACGGUCAGAAUGCCGGAGGAUACUCCCAGCCUAGGGAGCGGGAGAGGCCGAGGGGAUUCCCGGGGUAGGGGUGAAAUCCUAUAAUCCCGGGAGGACCACCUGUGGCGAAGGCGCUCGGCUGGAACGCGUCCGACGGUGAGGGACGAAGGCCAGGGGAGCAAACCGGAUUAGAUACCCGGGUAGUCCUGGCUGUAAACGAUGCGGACUAGGUGUCGGGCAAGCUAAGGGCUUGUCCGGUGCCGCAGGGAAGCCGUUAAGUCCGCCGCCUGGGGAGUACGGCCGCAAGGCUGAAACUUAAAGGAAUUGGCGGG
rnacentral:rRNA from 1 species